rnacentral:rRNA from 1 species
UACGAAGGGGGCUAGCGUUGCUCGGAAUUAUUGGGCGUAAAGGGCGCGUAGGCGGCCUGGCAAGUGGAAGGUGAAAUCCCUCGGCUUAACCGAGGAACUGCCUUCCAAACUGCUUGGCUUGAGUCCGGGAGAGGUGAGUGGAAUUCCCAGUGUAGCGGUGAGAUGCGUAGAUAUUGGGAGGAACACCAGUGGCGAAGGCGGCUCACUGGACCGGAACUGACGCUGAUGCGCGAAAGCGUGGGGAGCAAACGGG